rnacentral:rRNA from 1 species
UAAGGAAUCUUCCACAAUGGACGCAAGUCUGAUGGAGCAACGCCGCGUGAGUGAAGAAGGUUUUCGGAUCGUAAAGCUCUGUUGUUGGUGAAGAAGGAUAGAGGCAGUAACUGGUCUUUAUUUGACGGUAAUCAACCAGAAAGUCACGGCUAACUACGUGCCAC